CCCUUAGAUGUUCUGGGCCGCACGCGCGUUACACUGAUGCAUUCAACGAGUUCUUCCUUGGCCGAGAGGCCUGGGCAAUCUUUUGAACGUGCAUCGUGAUAGGGAUAGAUUAUUGCAAUUAUUAAUCUUGAACGAGGAAUUCCUAGUAAACGCAGUUCAUCAAACUGCAUUGAUUACGUCCCUGCCCUUUGUACACACCGCCCGUCGCACCUACCGAUUGAAUGGUCCGGUGAAAUCUCGGGACGGCGGCUCGGUCGCUUGCGUCCGACUGCUGAAACUUGAUUAAACCAUAUCAUUUAGAGGAAGGUGAAGUCGUAACA
rnacentral:rRNA from 1 species